rnacentral:rRNA from 1 species
GACGAACGCUGGCGGCGUGCCUAAUACAUGCAAGUAGAACGCAGUUGCGAACGGGUGAGUAACGCGUAGGUAACUGCUUGGUAGAGGGGGAUAACACUUGGAAACGAACGCUAAUACCGCACACUACCAGAUGGACCUGCGUUGUAUUAGCUAGUUGGGGAGGAAACGGCUCACCAAGGCAACGAUACAUAGCCGACCUUGGAGGGUGAUCGGGCAGACCGGGACUGUGACACGGCCCAGACGCCCACGGGGGGCAGCAGUAGGGAAUCUUCGGCAAUGGGGAGAACCCGGACCGAGCAACGCCGCGUGAGGGAAGAAGGUUUUCGGAUCGUAAAGGUCUGUUGUUAAUGAAGCGGUACUUAACGAGAAAGUGACGGCUAACUACGUGCCAGCAGCCGCGGUAAUUC